rnacentral:autocatalytically_spliced_intron from 1 species
GUGUGCCGUAGAGACACAAGGAAUGUUCAGGAAAGAGCAAACUAAGUGCGAAAGCUGCACAAUAGAUGAGGGUGGACCCCUCGGAGCCGGUUUACAAGAGCAGGCUUCAAACAACCAUAAGCUGCUUUGGUAAGGUAGUGAGCGUUAUGGAAAAGGCGUAAUUAUGCGUCAUGUGUGAAAUAGAGAGAUGAACGCAAGUGAACCACUGAUUACACGUCGAAAGGUAAUGCGAUGAUGUCAAAACCAGGGGAGAAAAAGUAACUUGGGAUAAGCCUAUCGGGAACUUGUCUACUGGGUAGGUGGCAUCCGGCAUAUAGGUGGCAUGAACCUGUUUCAGGCUAUUGUGUGGAACUACGGGAACCUGUCGUUUCGAUGAUAAGGGAGAAGUCCAAGGAGCUGAACUCUAAGGAAGAGAGUACUGAUGCGAAAAACAGGGGCGGAUUAGCUUGUAGUAGUGAAGAAGUUUUUGUAAUGGAAAUGGAGCGAAGGGAUUUAGUUUUAAUUAUUUAUCAACCGAAAGGGAAGAGUUAAUGAAUAAAACAAAAUCUUUUGACAUAUCAAAGCAACUGAUUUGGAAAGCUUAUAAACAAGUAUCCAAAAACAGAGGUGCGGCAGGUGUAGAUGAGGUCUCGAUAACAAAGUUUGAAGAAAAUCUAAAAGAUAAUCUAUACAAACUGUGGAAUCGGAUGUCAUCCGGAACCAGAAUCAGUAAAAGCUGUUGCGAUACCAAAAGAUACAGGAGGACAAAGAACUUUAUGUGUUCCUUCAGUAUUCGACAGGAUAGGGCAAACAGCAGCUACUAUGUAUCUCGAACCGUUAGUAGAGCCGGAAUUUCACGAAGAUUCAUAUGGUUAUAGACCAAACAAGUCUGCACUGGAUGCGGUAAGUACAGCGUGUAAGAGAUGUUGGAGAAGUGAUUGGACGAUAGAUCUUGAUAUUUCUGGAUUUUUCGACAAUCUGGAUCAUGUGUUAGCACUGCAAACUAUCAAGAAGCAUACAGAUUGCAAGUGGGUCAUACUGUACGUGGAAAGGUGGAUGAAAGCCCCGAUUCAACUAGCAGAUGGCAGUAAGGUAGUUAGGAAUAAGGGAGUUCCACAAGGAGGUUCUGUAAGCCCAAUCAUUUCUAACAUAUUUAUGCAUCAUGCAUUUGAUAUGUGGAUGAGGCAAAACUACCCAACAAUACCGUUUGAGAGAUAUGUAGAUGAUGCAAUGGUGCACUGUAAAACCCAGAAACAGGCAAAAUUUAUAAAAGACAAGAUCGAAGAAAGAUUGGCUGAGUUUAAGCUAAAAUUACAUCCUGAAAAGACACAAAUAGUGUACUGUAAGGAUGACAAUAGGAGAGAUGAGUUUCCAAUACAGAGCUUUGACUUUCUGGGUUACACGUUCAGACCUAGACUGGCAAAGAACAAUAAAAUAGGAAACUAUUUUGUCUCAUUUCUACCUGCAAUUAGCAACAAAGCCAAGAAGAAGAUCAACCAAACCAUAAGGUCAUGGAAAAUACGUAGGCAAACAUAUACAACACUAGAGAAAAUAUCAAAGAGAAUAAAUCCUAUAGUCCGAGGCUGGCUAUGGCAGGUUUUAUAAAUCAGAGAUGUAUCCAUCUCUCAGAAAUGUAGAGUGGCACCUAGUAGGAUGGGUCAGAGCCAAAUAUAAGAAACUUCGAAAUCAUGGAAGACUAGCAAAGUAAUUUCUAGCAAAAGUGAGAAAGAGGUCUCCAAAUAUUUUCUAUCACUGGACACUAGGAUUGGGAUCAAAAGGCUGAAUAACGGGAGCUGUAUAAAUUGAGAGGUUUACGUACAGUUCUGCGAGAGACUGGUGGGGAAGCUCCGCCGGUCUACUCUCC